rfam:Capsicum annuum cultivar Zunla-1 chromosome 3, whole genome shotgun sequence
GUUCAAAUGAGGAAAGGCUUACGGUAGAUACCUAGGCACCCAGAGAUGAGAAAGGGCAUAGUAAUCGACGAAAUACUUUGGGGAGUUAAAAAUAAGCAUAGACCCGGAGAUUCCCGAAUAGGGUAACCAUUUGAACUGCUACUGAAUCCAUAGGCAGGCAAAAGACAACCUGGCUAAUUGAAACAUCUUAGUAGCCAGAGGAAAACAAAGCAAAAAUGAUUCCCGUAGUAGCAGUGAGCGAAAUGGGAGGAGCCUAAAUCGUGAAAAUGAGGUAGUAGGAUAGCAAUACAAAUGUCGUGCUUCUAGGCGAAGCAAACUGAAUGUUACAACCUAGAUGGCAAAAGUCCAGUAGCCGAAAGCAUCACUAACUUACGCUCUGACCUGAAUAGCAUAAGGCAUGUAGAAUCCCGUGUGAAUCAGCAAGGACCACCUUGCAAAGCUAAAUACUACUGGGUGAACGAUAGCAAAGUAAUACCGUGAGGGAAGGGUGAAAAGAACCCCCAUCAGUGAGUGAAAUAUAACAUGAAACUGUAAGCUCCUAAGCAGUGGGAGGAGCCAAGGCUCUGACCGCGUGCCUGUUGUAGAAUGAGCCAGUGACUCAUAGGCAAUAUCUUGGUUAAGGGAACCCACCAGAGCCGUAGCAAAAGUGAGUCUUCAUAGGGUAAUUGUCACUUCUUAUGGACCCAAAACUGGGUGAUCUAUCCAUGACCAAGAUGAAUCUUGGGUGAAACUAAGUGGAGGUCCGAACUAAUCGAUGUUGAAGAAUCAGCGGAUGAGUUGUGGUUAGGGGUGAAAUGCCACUCGAACCCAGAGCUAGCUGGUUCUCCCCGAAAUGCAUUGAGGCGCAGCAGUUGACUGGACAUCUAAGGGUAAAGAGCUAUUUUGGUAUGGGCCGCAAGAGAGGUACCAAAUUGAGGCAAACUCUGAAUACUAAGUAUGGCCUUAAAAUUAAAAAAGAGGGGUCAAAGUCGGCUAGUGAGAUGAUGGGGGAUAAGCUUCAUUGUCGAGAGGUAAACAACCUGGAUCACUAGCUAAGGCCCCUAAAUGGCUGCUCAGUGAUAAAGGAGGUAGGGCUGUGGAGACAGCUAGGAGCUUUACCUAGAAGCAGUCAUCCUUGAAAGAGUGCGUAAUAGCUCACUGAUUGAGCGCUCUUGCGCCAAAGAUGAACGGGGUUAAGCGAUCUGCCAAAGCUGUAGGGUGUAAAAAUACAUCGGUAGGGAAGCAUUCCGCCUUAGAGAAAAGCCUCCACGCGAGCGUUGGUGGAUGAAGCGGAAGAGAGAAUUUCGGCUUGAGUAAUACAAACAUUGGUGAGAAUCCAAUGCCCCAAAAUCCUAAGAUUUCCUCCGCAAGGUUCAUCCAUGGAGGGUGAGUUAGGGCCUAAGAUCUGGCCAAAAGGCGUAGUCGAUGGAAAAUAGGUAAAUAUUCCUGUACUACCCCUUGUUGGUCCCGAGGGACAAAGGAGGCUAGGUUAGCCGAAAGAUGGUUAUCAGCUCAAGAACGUAAGGUGUCCCUGCCCUUUCUUCAGGGUAAGAAAGGCCAGAGAAAAUGCCUUGAGCCAAUGUUCGAAUACCGGGAGCUACGACGCUGAAGUAACCCAUGCCAUACUCCUACGAAAAGCUCGAACGACUUUGAGCAAGAGGGUACCUAUACCCAAAAUCGAAACAGGUGGGUAAGUAGAGAAUACCUAGGGGCGCGAGACAACUCUCUCUAAGGAACUCGGCAAAAUAGCCCCAUAACUUUGCGAGAAGAGGUUCCUCUUCACAUCACAAAGGGGUCGCAGUGACCAGGACCGGGAAACUAUUUACCAAAAGCACAGGUCUCCACAAAGUCGUAAGACCAUGUAUGGGGCCUGACGCCUGCCCAGUGCUGGAAGGUCAAGGAAGUUGGUGACCUAAUGAUAGGGGAGCCAGAAAUUGAAGCCUCGGUGAAUGGCGGCCGUAACUAUAACGGUCCUACGAGAGCAAAAUUCCUUGUCGGGUAAGUUCUGACCCGCACGAAAGGCAUAACGAUCUGGGCAUUGUAUCGGAGAGAGGCUCGGUGAAAUAAACAUGUCUAUGAAGAUGCAGACUACCUGCACCUGGAAAGAAAGACCCUAUGAAGUUUCACUAUUCCCUGGGAUUGGCUUUGGGCCUUUACUAUGCAGCUUAGGUGGAAGGCUAAGAAGGCCUUCUUCCGAAGGGCCGAUCCAUCAGUGAGAUACCACUCUAGAAGGGAUAGAAUUAUAACCUUAUGUCAGGACCUACGGGCCAAGGAACAGUCUCAGGUAGAUAGUUUCUAUAGGGUGUAGUCCUCCCAAAAGGUAACAGAUACAUGCAAAGGUUUCCUCAGGCCGGACGGAGAUUGGCCCUCGAGUGCAAAGGCAGAUAGGAGCUUGACUGCAAGACCCACCCGUUGAGCAGGGACGAAAGUUAGCCUUGGUGAUCUGACGGUGUUGAGUAGAAGGGCCGUCGCUCAAUGGGUAAAAGUUACUCUAGGGAUAACAGGCUGAUCUUCCCCAAGAGCUAACAUUGGCGGGAAUGUUUGGCACCUCGAUGUCGACUCUUCACCACCUAAGGCUGUAGUAUGUUCCAAGGGUUGAGCUGUUCACCCAUUAAAGCGGUACGUGAGCUGGGUUUAGAACGUCGUGAGAUAGUUCAGUCUAUAUCCAAUAUGGGCAUUAGAGCAUUGAGAGGACCUUUCCCUAGUACGAGAGGACCGAGAAGGACGCACCUUUGGUGUACCAGUUAUCGUGCCUAUGGUAAACGUUGGGUAGUCAAGUAACUGCUGAAAGUAUCUAAGUAGUAAGCCCAUCCCAAGAUGAGUGCUCUCCUAUUUCGACUUCUCCGAAGCUUUCGGUAGCACAGCCGAGAUAGCGAUGGGUUCCUACCCCUGCGGUGAUGGAGUGACAAAAGUUUUUUUGAGAAUUCAAGAAAAGUUCAUGGCGAGACGAGCCAUUUAUCAUUACGAUAGGUAUCAAGUGGAAGUGCAGUGAUGUAUGCAACUGAGGCAUCCUAACAGACCUGUAUACUUAAACCU